rnacentral:rRNA from 1 species
UACAGAGGUCUCAAGCGUUGUUCGGAUUCAUUGGGCGUAAAGGGUGCGUAGGCGGCGCGGUAAGUCGGAUGUGAAAUCCCGGGGCUCAACCCCGGAACUGCAUUCGAUACUGCCAGGCUGGAGUACUGGAGAGGAGAUUGGAAUUUACGGUGUAGCAGUGAAAUGCGUAGAUAUCGUAAGGAAGACCAGUGGCGAAGGCGGAUCUCUGGACAGUUACUGACACUGAGGCACGAAGGCCAGGGGAGCAAACGGG